rnacentral:misc_RNA from 1 species
GAUGAAGAACGUAGCGAAAUGCGAUAAGUAGUGUGAAUUGCAGAAUUCAGUGAAUCAUCGAAUCUUUGAACGCACAUUGCGCCCUUUGGUAUUCCUUAGGGCAUGCCUGUUCGAGCGUCAUUUAAACCUUCAAGCUCAGCUUGGUGUUGGGUGUCUGUCCCGCCCCCCUCGGGGGCGCGGACUCGCCUCAAAUGCAUUGGUGGCCGGUACCUUGGCUUCGAGCGCAGCAGAAACGCGAACUCGGUGCCCGGGGGUCGGCUCCCAGAAGCCAUCUUCUUAGUUUGACCUCGGAUCAGGUAGGGAUACCCGCUGAACUUAAGCAUAUCAAUAAGCGGAGGA